rnacentral:rRNA from 1 species
UGCGUAGGCGGGUCUUUAAGUCAGAGGUGAAAUACCUGGAGCUCAACUCCAGAACUGCCUUUGAUACUGAGGAUCUUGAGCUCGGGAGAGGUGAGUGGAACUGCGAGUGUAGAGGUGAGAUUCGUAGAUAUUCGCAAGAACACCAGUGGCGAAGGCGGCUCACUGGCCCGAUACUGACGCUGAGGCACGGAAAAGCGUAGGGGAGCAAACA